CUACGGGGCGCUGCAGUGAGGAAUAUUGCACAAUGGGGGGAACCCUGAUGCAGCAACGCCGCGUGGAGGAUGGCGCAUUUCGGUGUGUAAACUCCUUUUAUAUGUCAAGAAAAUGACGGUAGCAUAUGAAUAAGCACCGGCUAACUCCGUGCCAGCAGCCGCGGUAAUACGGAGGGUGCAAGCGUUACUCGGAAUCACUGGGCGUAAAGGACGCGUAGGCGGGUUGGAAAGUCAGGUGUGAAAUCCUACAGCUUAACUGUAGAACUGCACUUGAAACUUCUAAUCUAGAGGAUGGGAGGGGGAGAUGGAAUUAGUGGUGUAGGGGUAAAAUCCGUAGAUAUCACUAGGAAUACCUAAAGCGAAGGCGAUCUCCUGGAACAUUACUGACACUAAGGCGUGAAAGCGUGGGGAGCAAACAGGAUUAGAUACCCUUGUAGUC
rnacentral:rRNA from 1 species